AGAUAACGCUGCUGGCCAUGGAGUAAGACUGACGCAGACAUCUCUACUCUCAGAGUGUUACUCUGGACUGAGCCAACUCUACAGCCAUCUACCCUGAAAUGCUCAAAUGACUGAUGGCUCAUCUCUAUCAACACCAUUGAAGCUCUCUGCUGAAUGUGCACAUCACAAGUUCAUGCACAUCUCUGGGCAAGAAACAAGGACCGUAGUCAAGACAAGCCACUGAAAACAGUUUGCAAAUGGGGCCAUUUCCACAGUUGCAUCCGAGAUACAGAAAAACCAUAGAGAAUGUGGAUGUGAAGGAUGACCUCAUGCCACGGAUGCACAGAUAAAAAUUCAGCCUGGGAAGGGAAAGAGAAAAAGAGGCUUGGAUACACCAUGCACAAAACCAUCUCCCAUGGCUUCUCCUUGAAAAGUGCUCUCAGCAGGCGAGGUGAGCCCUUGAGCAAUGACAGCCCUGACUUGCAUACAAGCCAACCUUCCAUUGGAUCUUGGGGACUCUGCAGCUGAUGGCCUGUGUGCUGUAUGGCUUGGAGAGACUACGCAGCCAUGUAGAGCCUCUGCCUUUAGCUGAUGCCUCAUAGCUCUGGCAUUUCCAGCAUCUUGGAGUGUUAACUGCGACCCAUUUUCCCACUCUCAGAGCUUCAUGAAAUGGCCUUUCACAGUUUUGCAGAGGGCCACCAACCAUACAUUGCCUGGCCUCAGCAGCUCUCUGAAACUUUGGAUGAAGGAUCCACGAGCUUCUCUCUUGUACCCAGUGUGUCCUGAUUCCUGAAGAAAAGCUCCAGCUUUGGAAGGGCCUCAGAAGGAGCUUUGUAAAAAUGAAUAACAAAGACCUGAACUCUGAUGAGGACCGUCCCGUGCCAUUUCUGCCAGCGGCUGCAGUGCGAUUGAAGGGGCCCGGGAAAACUGAGACUCUGCUCCUCAGGCAUCUUUGAGAGCGAGUGGCCAGGGAUCCGAGGUAUCUUCCUGCACCCACCCAGGAACUGGAAGGAGCAGGAAAGUGCCCCUGGGAUCCUGAGUGUGGUGUCCUCAUAAGCAAGAAACUGACUGAGCUUGGGCUGACUCUGAAAGAACAGAACCUGAGAGCUGAGAGGCCCCUGCGGCUCUCUCCACUCUCUCUGCUCUCUCUGUAGCUCAUCUCUAGCAACCGUCCCAGGUGAUGCCAAAGCUUGGCUUCACUCCAGUACCUGUGAAGAAGGUGAAUUAUGGCAGAUGCAGUCUGCCUUCCAAACGGUUUACAAAUGGCUUGUCUGCACCACAAGACACUGGCUUGCCCAAAGGGCUCUAAACCAAAAGCCAAGCCAUUUGUCUAGUGAGUGAAGCAACAGAGUUGAAGUGAAAGGAGAGGCUCAGGGCUGGAGCCUGGGAAAAAGACGCCCAUCUCAGGGUUUGCUCAAUGCUUGGAAGAGGGAUGGUGUGGUGCUAGCCCAUGCCUCGUCUCUGCAGAUGUCCCCUAUAAAGCAUUAAGCC
ensembl:antisense Gm15984 predicted gene 15984